rnacentral:rRNA from 1 species
UACGGGGGGGGCAAGCGUUGUUCGGAAUUACUGGGCGUAAAGGGUUUGUAGGUGGCUUGUUAAGUCAGACGUGAAAUCCCUCAGCUUAACUGGGGAACUGCGUCUGAUACUGGCGAGCUUGAGUGCAGGAGAGGAACGCGGAAUUCCAGGUGUAGCGGUGAAAUGCGUAGAUAUCUGGAGGAACACCGGUGGCGAAGGCAGUUCACUAGGCCUGUAUUGACACUGAGGCACGAAAGCGUGGGGAUCAAACAGG